AGAGUUUGAUUCUGGCUCAGAUUGAACGCUGGCGGCGUGCUUAACACAUGCAAGUCGAACGAGAAAGUCCUAGCUUGCUAGGGCGAGUAAAGUGGCGCACGGGUGAGUAACGCGUGAAUAAUCUACCUUCGAAUCUGUGAACAACACACCGAAAGGUGUGCUAAUACCGGAUAAUAUCUUUUGCCCUUCGGUGUAGAAGAUCAAGGCGGCCUCUUCUUGAAAGCCGUUGUUUGGAGAUGAGUUCGCGUACCAUUAGCUAGUUGGUGGGGUAAAGGCCUACCAAGGCUACGAUGGUUAGCUGGUCUGAGAGGAUGACCAGUCACACUGGAACUGAGACACGGUCCAGACUCCUACGGGAGGCAGCAGUGAGGAAUCUUGCGCAAUGGGGGAAACCCUGACGCAGCAACGCCGCGUGAGUGAUGAAGGCUCUUGGGUCGUAAAGCUCUGUCAAUAGGGAAGAAAUCAAUUAUGGUUAACUAUCCAUAGUUGUUGACGGUACCUAUGAAGGAAGCACCGGCUAACUCCGUGCCAGCAGCCGCGGUAAUAGGGGGGGUGCAAGUGUUAAUCGGAAUUAUUGGGCGUAAAGCGAGUGCAGGCGGUAUUGUAAGUCAGAUGUGAAAGCCCAGGGCUCAACCCUGGAAGUGCAUUUGAAACUGCAAUACUUGAGUAUGGGAGAGGAAAGUGGAAUUCCUGGUGUAGAGGUGAAAUUCGUAGAUAUCAGGAGGAACACCAGUGGCGAAGGCGACUUUCUGGACCAAUACUGACGCUCAGACUCGAAGGCGUGGGGAGCGAACAGGAUUAGAUACCCUGGUAGUCCACGCAGUAAACGUUGACAACUAGGUGUCGCGGGUAUUGACCCCUUCGGUGCCGCAGCUAACGCAUUAAGUGCCCCGCCUGGGGAGUACGAUCGCAAGAUUGAAACUCAAAGGAAUUGACGGGGGCCCGCACAAGCGGUGGAGUAUGUGGUUUAAUUCGAGGCAACGCGAAGAACCUUACCUGGAUUUGACAUGUUUAGGACCGACUGUGAAAGCAGUCUUUCCCUUCGGGGAUCUUUACACAGGUGCUGCAUGGCUGUCGUCAGCUCGUGCCGUGAGGUGUUGGGUUAAGUCCCGCAACGAGCGCAACCCCUAUCUAUAGUUGCCAUCAGGUAAUGCUGGGGACUCUAUAGAGACUGCCGGUGACAAACCGGAGGAAGGUGGGGACGACGUCAAGUCCUCAUGGCCCUUACAUCCAGGGCUACACACGUACUACAAUGGCCGGUACAAUAGGAAGCAAUAUCGCGAGAUGGAGCAAAUCCCCAAAACCGGUCUCAGUUCAGAUUGGAGUCUGCAACUCGACUCCAUGAAGGAGGAAUCGCUAGUAAUCGCUGAUCAGCAGGCAGCGGUGAAUACGUUCCCGGGCCUUGUACACACCGCCCGUCAAGCCACGGGAGUUGGGAGCACCCGAAGUCGCUUGCCUAACCGCAAGGAGGGCGGCGCCUAAGGUGAAACCGAUGACUGGGGCUAAGUCGUAACAAGGUAACC
rnacentral:rRNA from 1 species